CCCCAAGUCUGUGUCUUUUUAUUCUCUUAACAGUGACUUCGGCAGGGCGUGGUGGCUCAUGCCUGUAAUCCCAGCACUUUGGGAGGCUGAGGCGGGCAGAUCACGAGGUCAGGAGAUGGAGACUAUCCUGGCUAACACGGUGAAAACCCGUCUCUACUAAAGAUGCAAAAAAUUAGAGGGGCGUGGUGGCGGGCGCCUGUAGUCCCAGCUACUUGGGAGGCUGAGGCAGGAGAAUGGUGUGAAUCUUGUUGAGGUCAAAUUGAUCCGUUCUUUCUUUGGUGGAUUAUGCUUUUGGUGUCCUAAGAUCUCUGCAUCUAACACCAUUUUAUGACAAUUUCCCCCCUGUGUUUUCUUUUAAAAGUUUUAUAGAUUCACAUUUUCCAUUUAGAGCUGUAAUCCAUUUUGAAUUUAUUUUUGUAUGAAGUGUGGGGUUUAUGUUGAAGGUUUGGGGGUUUGUUGGUGCAUGCUGAUGUCUAAUUGCUCCAACAUCAUUUGUUGAAAAGGCUAUCCUUCCAUUGAAUUACUUUUGCACCUUUGUCAAAAAUCAGUUGGCUGUACUUGUGUGGUUCUAAUUCUGAGUUAUCUAUUCUGCUCCAGUGAUCUAUGUGUCUAUCCCUCUGCUAAAUACCACUGUCUUGAUUGCUGAAUUGUGCCUUAAGCCUUAAAAUUGGUAGAGCACACUUUUUUAACUUAAUUCACUUUUUACAAGUUAUUUUUUCUUUAGCUGUAUGCGCACAUAUAUGUAUAUACUAUACACAUCUAUGCGCACAUAUAUGUAUAUAUUAUACACAUCUAUGCGCACAUAUAUGUAUAUAUUAUACACAUCUAUGCGCACAUAUGCCACCGCGCCCUUUAAAUUGGCUAAUUUUUGUCAGCCACAUAUGGUUUUGUUUUCUUGUGUGGAUGGGUAGGUCUUUUCAAGUCUCUCCCACCCACAGCAGUCUGGGCUUCAGCACACUGUCAUGUUGGACUGCUCCUGCAAGGCAUCAAUCCAGCAGUGAGGGAAGUAUUAAGGCAUUAGAGAAGAUGACCAGCACCAUGUGUGGCAGGAACAACAGCCCACAGUCCUACUCCAGAAAUGAAACAUCCUGGAUAUCCCCACAAUUUUAAAUGAUAACGGGCAGGUUUAUUUUGAUUCUGGAGAAACUUUUCGAUGGGUUGUGGGGAGGUAAGAUUUCCAAACAAUCCUAACACUUCUGAACAGGUGAGACACUCACAUUGGUUUUGUGUAAGAGGUGCCAUCAAAGCCAGGUCACCCCUGCCUGGGUGAUUGCAGAAAUGUCCCCCUUUCUCUGCAGAACCCCCUUGAAAAUCUUCACAGGAAGCUUUUAAACCGGGAUGGAUUUCAUCUCAGCAUGAACAGGGGCUUCCUAAGCAUUUCCAGCACCUGCCCCCACCUGUUAAGUAAUGCCAGUAAGUGUUGGCAAUUCCAAAUUAUAAUUCCCUCACCCUAAUAGGACUCCCAGUUUACUUCUUUGGGGUGUUAUGUGACAUGUGUCCUCUUCAUUAUCCAUCUUCCACAGAAAAGUUUCUGGCUUUGGCCAAAUGGUCUUUCCCACUCUUUUGUAGUUUAAAGGACUUCUAGUCUUAUUAAAGCCCCCUUUCUCCCCGCUACCCCUUGCAGGACUAAAAAUUCACAGUGAGAUUUUUCUUCAGGCAUUGCCCCUAAUGCCCACCCGCAGCCCACCCCAUCCUCUGAGGAUUACCUAGUGGCUCACCGCAACUGAAGGGCUGCAAGGCCACAGACAUCCUGAUGGACAACCCACCUCCCUCUCUCAGGUGUCUUGUGUGUUUGUCAGAGAAGGUGCCUUCACCUCCAACCCUCAGGAGAGAUUGUUUCAAAUCCUAGCUUCACUGCUAAAUAGGAAUAUCACUUUGUUAGGUUAAUUAACCUCUCCAAAAGUAAGUUUCUUAAUUUGCACAAUCAGAAUGAUAUUGCUUUCUCCAAAAUAUCAUGAGAAUUAGAAAAAUAAAAUUCCUAGCCUUUUUGUAUGUGUGGCCCAUGAACCCAUGUGAUUGUAGGCUCCCACAUAAAAUGUAAAAAUAAAUUUAAAAAUAAAUAACCUAAAAGCCACGGGGUAUAGGGCAGUCGUAGGCAGGUGGAGACAAAUGUGGGCUCUGGAUUCAUUCUGAGUUCAAGUCCUAGCUCCUUCUCUUAUUAACCUUUAUGAGCUAUGGAAAGUUCAUUACCUACAUUAUUCCUGUGUUUCCUCCAUGGUGCAGAGGCAGUAGGUGCCUGCCUGACAGGCCUGUUGCAAGGAUUAAAGGAGAAAAAUACAUGUUAGGGCUUAGCACAAUGUCUCACUCUUUUAUAUUAUAAAUAUGUUAUAUGUAUAUUAAUAGAUGUCACAAGACAUCUAUUAAUUUUGAUAAAAUGUAGAAACUUAAGGGAAGGAAAUUAUUUUUGUUUUUUAUUCCCAUAUGAUGUGAUUACAGACAAUCUUACUGUUUUGUUUUGUAUACUUUUCUAUAUUUGUGAAUGUUUUUGAAAUAAACAUGAGUUACAUUUAAAGACAAUAGAACUAUAAACUUCACAAAUUUAGGAGUAAUCAUGAGUAGCGAUUUUUCCCACCCUAUUAGGGGAAAUAGUUGUAUCUGUAUACACUGUAAAAUAGAGAAUUGUCUCAACAGCCCCAAGGAGCAGCUCUCUCAGAUAGUUAAGGAGUCUAGGGUGUCUUCUGAAAAGUCACCUGCAUACAGAGUAAGAU
rnacentral:lncRNA from 10 species